UACAGAGGGUGCGAGCGUUGUCCGGAAUCACUGGGCGUAAAGGGCGCGUAGGCGGCUUGAUAAGCGUGCGGUGAAAGCCCGGGGCUCAACCCCGGGUCGGCCGUGCGAACUGUCGAGCUGGAGCACUGUAGAGGCAGGUGGAAUUCCGGGUGUAGCGGUGGAAUGCGCAGAUAUCAGGAGGAACACCGGUGGCGAAGGCGGGUCUCUGGGCCAUUACUGACGCUGAGGAGCGAAAGCGUGGGGAGCGAACAGG
rnacentral:rRNA from 1 species